GGCUCCGUGGUGGAACUGGUAGACACAAGGGACUUAAAAUCCCUCGGGCCUCACGGCCCGUCCCGGUUCGAUUCCGGGCGGAGCCACCA
rnacentral:tRNA from 1 species